rnacentral:ncRNA from 1 species
CUGACGGGCGCGUCCGGGUCAAUUGCGGACUGCAACACCCGAUCUCGCUCCCCGUGCCUCCGUCGGAGGAGCUCGAGGAGGGAGAACGCGUCACCAUCAG